ensembl:lncRNA
AUGGCGCCGCAGACGGCUGCUUCAGUGCUUGGCUCUCCAGUGUUUGUACUGUUUUUGUUCGUUUUUCCUGUUUUUUGUUUAACAAACACGAUCAGUUUCACCAGGGAAGAACUGCUGAACAUUCGGCAGAACACACCACAAGAUCUUUUACCGGAUUUCAAUUAUUCAGACGUUUUACUGAACGUUGUUGUCGGCGGAGCAGCGGCGCUGAUCAAACGCUUCAGGACGCGCAAACGGGGGAAGCGAGCUGGUGCGCUCGUUAGACUCAGGAAGCGCGGAUUUCGAACGCCGUUGCCUAGCAUCCAUCUGGCAAAUCUCCGCUCUCUACCCAACAAAACGGACGAAAUCCUUCUGCUCUCUCGGACAAAUAAGGAUUUCUCACACUCUGCUGCUCUGUGUUUCACGGAAACCUGGCUCAAUGACGCCAUACCGGACAGUGCGCUCCAUCUGCCGGGCUUUCAGCUGUUCAGAGCGGAUCGCGACGCAGAAUCAACGGGGAAAUCGCGCGGCGGCGGGACAUGCUUUUACAUCAAUGAACGGUGGUGUACAGAUGUAACUUUGUUAAAGAAGAUGUGCUGCUCAGAUCUCGAAACACUCUUCAUUAACUGCAAGCCGUUCUAUUCGCCGCGGGAGUUUCACUCGUUCAUUCUGGUGAGUGUUUAUAUCCCUCCGCAAGCGCACGUAAGUCUGGCUUUACAGAAACUCGCUGACCAGAUUACAGAGACAGAACAACAACACCCGGACUCUGUUUUAAUCAUUCUUGGGGACUUUAAUAAAGCCAAUCUCUCCCGUGAACUGCCAAAAUACAGACAGCAUGUUACAUGUCACACCAGAGACAGUAAUAUAUUGGAUCACUGUUACACCACAAUAAAGGAUGCAUAUCACUCUGUUCCACGAGCAGCUUUGGGACUGUCUGAUCACUGUCUGGUUCAUCUUAUACCAACCUACAGGCAGAAACUUAAAUCUGCUAAACCUGUAGUAAAGACUGUAAAGAGAUGGACCAACGAAACAGAGCAGGAUUUACAAGCCUGUUUUGACCUCACUGAUUGGAGUGUUUUUGAAGCUGCUACCACCAAUCUGGACGAACUCACAGAGACCGUAACAUCAUAUAUUAGUUUUUGUGAGGAUAUAUGCAUUCCUACCAGGACUUAUUUAACAUUCAACAAUGAUAAGCCAUGGUUUACAGCAAAACUCAGACAUCUUCGUCAGGCCAAAGAGGAUGCCUACAGAAAUGGGGACAGAGUCUUGUACAAUCAGGCCAGGAACACACUGAACAAAGAGAUUAGAGCGGCUAAAAAGACCUACGCUAAAAAGUUGGAAGACCAGUUGGAAGCUGGCCCCCAUCUUUUCACAGAUCUUCAACAGAUCUCUGGAGUUGUGUGA